rnacentral:lncRNA from 1 species
AGUCCUUCCUACCGUGCUGUUUUUGAAAGAUAUAAUGUAAGUCAUCAAGAACUACAAAAGUUUUGCUACUUUUCUCAACAACAUUGAUGUCCUGAAUUUAGCAGGUGCUAUCGACUGAUCAGUUGGAUAAAGUUAUGGACUACUUUCUGCACACGCCACGGUCAGUGUGAACCGGAGUGACUUGACAUAAUGCUGGCCAAACAAGCUACAAACAAAACAGAGUUAAAUGGUUCCAAUCUGCCGUGAAGCAUUCACCCAUGUACACGGCCCAGGCUGUGUGGUUCAAGGGUGAAUGGUGGGACUUGGGGCAGAUGCACUCCACAGAAAGAGGCAGAGCCAGAGGAGUCAGAGUAAGAGGAGGAGGACGGGGAGGAAAAGGACGAGGACGGGGAAGGCCAAGGACCGUAAUCUCUGAUGAGAUCCGAGCCACUUUGGUUGAUCAUGUGGUCAACCAUGGUCUAACAAUGAGGGAGGCUGGGCAAAGAGUACAGCCAAAUUUAAGCAGGUACACUGUAACAUCCAUCAUCCGGACAUUCCGAAAUGAGAAUAGAGCUGAAAGAUUACCAACACAAGGUGGUCGGGAACGUGUUCUGUCUCCUGAACAGGAAACUGAAAUCAUGAACAUGGUCCUAGAAAAUAACGGCAUAACAUUACGG